AGUGAACGCUGGCGGCAGGCCUAACACAUGCAAGUCGAACGGCAGCACAGAGGAGCUUGCUCCUUGGGUGGCGAGUGGCGGACGGGGUGAGGAAUACGUCGGAAUCGUGCCUAUUUGUGGGGGAUAACGUAGGGAAACUUACGCUAAUACCGCAUACGACCUUAGGGUGAAAAGCGGAGGACCUUCGGGCUUCGCGCAGGAUAGAUGAGCCGACGUCGGAUUAGCUAGUGGCGGGUAAAGGCCCACCAAGGCGACGAUCCGUAGCUGGUCUGAGAGGAUGAUCAGCCACACUGG
rnacentral:rRNA from 1 species